rnacentral:rRNA from 1 species
AAAGUCUGGCCUGCCCUAUGAUUUAUUAUUAAAUGGCCGCGAUAUUUUGAUCGUGCAAAGGUAGCAUAAUAAUUAGUUUUUUAAUUGGGAACUGGUAUGAAUGGUCGCACGAGAAAAAGACUGUCUCAAUUUAAUUUAAAUUAGAAUUUUAUUUUUAAGUUAAAAAGCUUAAAUAUUUUUAAAAGACGAGAAGACCCUAUAGAGUUUUAUAUAAUUUUAUAUUUUUAAAAAUUAAAGAAUUUUAGAUUUAAUUAUAUAGAAUUAUAUUUAGUUGGGGUGACUAAAAAAUUUAAUUAACUUUUUUUAUAUAUUUAACAUUGAUUUAUGAGUAAGUGAUCCA